UUGGAGGGCAAGUCUGGUGCCAGCAGCCGCGGUAAUUCCAGCUCCAAUAGCGUAUAUUAAAGUUGUUGCAGUUAAAAAGCUCGUAGUUGAAUUUCGGGAUCAAUGUUUCGGUCAUGCCGUUGGUAUGUACUGAUAUUAUUGAUUUCUCACCUUCUAAAGAACCGUAAUGCCAUUAAUUUGGUGUCACGGGGAAUUAGGACUGUUACCUUGAAAAAAUUAGAGUGUUUAAAGCGGGCUCACGCUUGAAUACAUUAGCAUGGAAUAAUGAAAUAGG
rnacentral:rRNA from 1 species